rnacentral:snoRNA from 1 species
AAGGAUAUACUUUCAGGAAUCAUUUCUAUAGUUUGCUACUAAACAAAUAUGAAUAGACAUUACUUCAGAGCAGUUUUAGGUGC